CAGAAGAAUGGCUCUUGUUCUCUGAGGGUGGGGCCUGAAACAUCUGUGUAUUUCACAAACUCCCUGGUGAGUCUGCAGCAGCCAGCUCAGUUCCCAGACUUGGGGCCCACAGGUUCCGUGUCAUUGUAAUAUGAGGAAACUGAGGCCCAGAGAGGGGAUGCGACUCCUCCAACAUCACUUUGGGAGAGGAUGCUGACAAUCCUCCCUUUUCUCCUGGAAAGAAGGAACCGUCCCCCUCCAUCUCCCUCCACCUCCAGCUGAAGCCCUGGGUCUGGGAAGGCAUGGAAGGAGGAAGGACAAGGAGCGGAGGACAUUUCCACAGGACUGGACCUGCUCCACUUUGCCCUUUGUGCACACCCAGCACCUGCUAGGGGAUGUUUCCUGAAAGAUUACCGCAGCCCACUCCUGGGGAAGGCCAUUUCCACUGCUGGAGCCUGCCCCUGCCCUGAGAGGGUGCCAUAUCAUGGCAGAUUCGGGACUCACUCGGUCCUUAGACACCUCCAGCCCCUGCAGCCUCCCCCUGAGCCUGUUCUGCUCACCCUGCCACCACAGUUUUGGGAUCCCAGUUUCUGCCCUGCCUCCAUCCCACGAAGCGCCCUCAAAAAGCCUCAUCCAGCCCCAUCGCCAUCUCUCCUUCCUCUGGGUUCCUGCACCCUUUGCACCUGCAGAUCCAGCCCCCAUCCCAGCCUGCCUUGAGUUCUUGCUCUCUGCAUGUCUCUCACUGUCUGGAAUGGCACUGGAGAUUCCUGGGGGACAGGAGACACAAGACAGGUCUAGCUCAUCUCUGAGCCCUCCUUGGAGCCCAGCCCAGCCACAGCACGCCCCAGGGAAGCAGGUGUGGGAAGCAGGUGUUCACCGAGGCUGGGAGCCUCAGUCUCACCUCCCUCCCUCGUGCCCUGAGCCAUCUUAGGCAGGUUCCUUCCCUCUGGGCACACAGUCUUCUUAUUCACAGAAUGAAGAGAAUAAUAGUGCCCACAGUGGAGGGGUGUGCUGAGGAUUGAGAGAGUACCUAUAAAAGAGGUAGGGUGUGCCUGACGUCGGUCCGUCCCCAGUAAGUGUUCACUGUUGUUAUUUCUGGGUGGGUGGAGUACUCAUGCCCGCACAGCCUCCAGGACACAUCUGCGGGGGUCUCCUCUGUGCAAGAAUGACAGCAUCUGCUGCGUGCAUCUGGAGCAUGGAUAAGAUGCUGUUCUGCCUUCAAAGAGCACAGAGUUCUGCAGACACUUGCUUAGGUGACUUCAAACCAGAGAUCUGUGGUGAGGACGGUGGAGUGGAUGGUGGAAGCCCAGGAGGGACCUAGCCCAGCGUGUGGGGGAGGCCGGGGAGGGCAGGGGAACUUCCCAGAAAAGAUGCUGGAGCCAUGUUCUGAAGGCUGAGAAGGUUUCACAGUGUGCUGAACUGGAAAAUGAGGGGGAAACGGCCCUCUGCAGUGCGUUUUGGGGUAUGAAGACUGCGGGUGUAGACAACGGUGAGAGAGGGCGGAGGUUGGAAGGGGAAGAGGGCCAAAAAGGGAGGAGGUCCUAAGAAUCCCACUCACUCCUGGCUGGCUGUUCAGAGAUGGGGGCAGGGCAGCACAGACCAGGGCAGGGGAGGCCCCUGGAGGGAACAGAGUGCCGUGCUCGGAGUUUUAGAAAGGGUGAGUCCCCGUCACAGUCUUGCAAGAAGCCUCUUUGCCUUUGAGUCUCAAUAUUUUCAUCUUCAAAAUAAGACUGUGGCAACUGGGACAAGAGGUGUUGUGAAAGCACUUUGUGAACUGUAGAGUAUCAUGCUCCUGUGAGAUCAUAAUAGUGUUUUAAGUGGAGUCAGUACUUUUUGAGAGUUAAAGGAUGUCUCCCAGGGCAAGGCAGACAUGCUGGAGCCAAGGACUGCCUGAAACCUGCUCCUGUGCUGCCACCUGCUGGUAAAAAGGCACAAUGGCUAUCCAAGCCCUCAGGACUUUCUGCAGGAGCCACUGGGGCAACUGGGAAGGUUGAUCACUCUGCCAUGGUCUGAAGGUGGCCAAAGCCUCUGCAUCACCACUUUGACUCUGCCCCGCCAGAGACCAGCAGCUUGGGCUCCAAAGACCAAAGUGUCCCAGGCACUUGGCCCAGGCAUAUGUUUAUGAAUGAAGAUAACCUUUUUUCCCUUCUCCAUUCUUUAAAGCAUUCUCUGGUGUGCUGAGUCCUGGGUGCUUGACUGUGAGGCUGGGCUGAGGGAAGAGAACGGGUGGGGGACUUGUGGAAUAACCUCCACAUUGUAUGGGGAAACUGAGGCCCGGAGGAAAAGAACCUUGCCCCAAGGCCUGAGGGAGACUUUAGCUCUUGGCUGCUCAGGCAACCCAUAGCCGCCCCCUGGCUCUUGCUGAAGGUGGCCCAUGUCCCUGGGAGAAAGCUGACCCCUCCCUGGCUCUACAGGUGGGGCCUGUGGUCCAGGCAUAAUCCCACAGUGACUGGUUCAGCUUUGAGCACGUGACCAUAGUUGGCCCAAUCAGAAUGAAGACAGAGACUUUUAUUUUGCCCUGGGUCAGACCUAGAACUGGAAACCAACGAAAACCUCCAGUGCAGGGGCUUGACCAAGACAGGAACACACAGAGUGCACAGAAGUUUGUAGCUAUUUAUUGCACUGAAAACACCAAGAAUAAAACAGACGCCCCUUCUUCCCAUCCCACCCCCCAAAUAGCAGAAAGUUUGAGCAGUGGUCAUUCAAGUUCACAGCCACAUAGUUUUAAAAAAGAAAAGAAAAACAAAAAAGAACUAAAACAAACCCCCAAACAAAUAGUAACAAAGAAACCAGCACGGGGAGUCUGGCAAACUCAUCCCCCCAAAGGGUCUCCCUUUGAAGGGAGACAGGAGGCCCUGGGUCAGGAUUCGCACCGUUGUGGGCACAAACCCAGGAGAAGACGUUCCUGUAAACCUGUUUGCAUGCUGGAGCCAAGGUUUUGACUUGGGUUUGGAUCUAUUUAUUUAUUUUUUGCAUCUAAAGGGUGUUUUGGAGGAGUGCGGAGUUGUCUGGUGAGGGUGGGCUCUGGGCAGCUUUUUCUGUGAGUUUCCCCUGCCUGCUGCCUCAGGAUCAUCCCUGGUGCCCCAUGGUGGCACCAGGUGGCUGCCCACCCACAGGCUGGCCUUCACAGUGGGGGCCAUCGCAGCCUGGGGUAGCAACCUGCUUCCACUUCUCUGGCACUUGGAGAGGGACACAGUGGACAGGAGGUGUGUCAGCCAUUGAAAGGCAGGACCUCAGGCUCCUCCGGCUCAGUUUCCUCUGGUGGGGAAACCAAGCUCCAGAGAGUGGAAGAAACUUGCCCAAGGUCACACAGCAAGUCAGGUCAGAGCUGGGAAUUGAAGCCUACUCACCCCAAACCACUGCUCUUUCCCCUGCAGUCCACUGCUGAAAAGCAGUUGACAGGCACCGAAGAGGGGAAUCUGGGGCAGGUGGGGGAAGGCAUGGGGCCUGGCCAGUUCUAGAAGUAAACAGGAGUCCUGCCAGUGACUAUCGCUGCCAGCUCCUGUGGGUAAAUUAGGCUUCACAUCGCCAGAUGCUUGCUCCUUCAUCAGCUGGAUGGGAGCAAUGAACCCUUAUAACCAAUGAGGAAACUGAGGCUGAAGAAGAGCUCAGACCUUGCUUGGUAAUUGCAGCAGCCCCUGGUGAAGGCCACACCCUCACACUUGACUGGGGAUGGUUGUAGGGAACCGGCAGCUCACAAGGGGGACAGGUGGUUUUGCCCCGGGGACAAUGGGAUCACUGGGCCUUACUGGGAAGCCCUCUGGGCCUGGGACAGGCCAAGAGCCCACCCAGUUCUUGGGCAGCAAGGUCUCUGCCAAGGACAGAGGCCAGUGAUGGACCAGCUUGGAAACCAGGAGGCCUGGGCAGCAUCUCUCCUGGCUUGCAGACCUGACACUGCCUGUGUCACCUGGGUAUGGGCAGCAGGACUUAAGAACCCAGCAGAUAGCUGGUGAUUGGGGAGAACUCAGAAGAAAGUCUUGGAUCAAACAUCCUCACCAGUUCUGCUCCAACCAGCACCCAGGAGGGUUGAGGGUACCGGAGCCUCCUCCAAUCCCUGGGGACGUGGCUCUUCCUCCCCUAAAAUCCUCCAGAGGGGACAGUAUCUCAUGCUGGCAAAACACGGCCACACAGAGGCCAAAAGCACAGAGAGGCAGCAACAUAAUUCCGAGUCGGACACUGAGAAUACAACCUCUAUUUUUGUUUUUAGUCCAAAACAUGUAGAUUGGUUUUGUUGAGUGUUUUCUUCUUUUUGUUUGUUUUCAACAUACUUACUGCAUAUAAAGUCAUGCAAAGAAAACAGUGCAGACAGUAGAUCCUAGUGGAUGUGCCAAGGUAUUCCACUCAGAGUCAAUCCCAGGGAAAGAGGGAAAGAGGAAAAGAAAGAGAGGAUGCGAACCUGAGGCUGCAGGAUGACGCGUGAAGAGUAGAAAUUCCCAGUGCUCUGCUGUGGUCAUCAGACACCAUGGGGGGAGAGGCAAUGAGAACACAUUCUCAUGGGCCCCCCAGAGGUGGGUGGGGGGCGCUGGGGGCGGCACGCAGAUAUGGUGAGAUGAAAUUCUGGGAAGUGCAGUAGUGAAGAC